CGUUGAGGUUUGUUACCUUCUUGUGGGGGUGGUCCUUGUGGCUUUCCUGGACGAGGUGGGGGACCUUGAGGUUUGUUGCCUCCUUGUGGGGGUGGUCCUUCUGGCUUUCCUGGACGAGGUGGGGGACCUUGGGACUGGUUGCCUCCUUGUGGGGGUCGUCCUUCUGGCUUUCCUGGAGGAGGUGGGGUACGUUGGGGCUGGUUUCCUCCUUGUGGGCGUCGUCCUUCUGGCUUUCCUGGAGGAGGUGGGGGACGUUGGGGCUGGUUUCCUCCUUGUGGGCGUCGUCCUUCUGGCUUUCCUGGAGGAGGUGGGGGACCUUGGGGCUGGUUGCCUCCUUGUGGGGGUGGUCCUUGUGGCUUUCCUGGAGGAGAUUGGGAACUUCGGGACUUGUCUCCUUGUGGGGGUGGUCCUUGUGGCUUUCCUGGAGGUGGG
rnacentral:lncRNA from 1 species